ACUUGGAGACCUCUGAAGAUACUGUGAAGUUUUAGAAGCAGAUUAAGGCCAUUCGGCCCUUCAAGUUUACACUUGCUCAGCAGCAGAGACGGUGGCAUCAUUCAGUCUCAAGAUGAUUUAAUGUCCAGAUUUCCUUCAUUUGAAUUUCUUCUUCCAUUUCAAUUUCUUCUGGAAGGUUUCAAGUAGCCAGUGUGGUCUUGCCCACGUUCUCCACCAGUGGGGUGUCAGGGGAUGACACCGACUUCAGCAGUGACCACACUGACAAUCGCAGUAGGUAGGUUAAACAUUAUCCUCUAAACCCGCGACCGUCGACAACGGGACGGAUCUCAUACAGGGGACAACGGAAGGUCACUAUCCAGUUGAAGAUAUCAACAGAAACCGAGAACAAAAAAUUAAGGUGAUCGAUCCAGGCUGGAGAUGCCGCCCUCCAGUCCAGCGGACCUCCGUGGUGAUGUUGCCACCGCUGAAAGCCGGAAUGCCAUUUCCGCUCCAAGACAGCCCACCACAGCAUCAGCUCCGGGCAGCCGCCCCAGCUCCAGGCUGCCGCCCCAGCUCCAGGUCCCGCAGUCUGCGCUCCAGGCCACUGCCCCAGCUCCGGGUCCCGCAGUCUCAGUUCCGAGCCCCGCUGCAUCAGCUCCUGGCCGCCGCCGAAAGCCAGAACGCCGCACCAGCAAGUUGGGCCACCGCUGCCUCAGCCCCGAAGACGGCCAGCUUCUCGUUGGUGAGUCCUGGCCGGCUCUGCCUCCGGAGCCUCGGGAUCAGUCGCAGGCUGGAGGCCGCCAGCUCCGCCAUUAGCGCAGACGGAGGCAGAGAAGGGGGAUACGACACAAAAAGGUUGCAUUCCCCCGAAGGAAGAGACAGAGAACAUGUUUCACCCCACACCCCCCUCUAAUACAACCCAACAAACUAAAACUUAACCAAAACAAGACAAAAAAAACAACAGAAAAAAGUAAAGACAGACGGACUGCAGGCGAGCCGCAGCUGUUAACAACGCCGCCAUCUACCUGCACUCAGACCAUAAACCUCCAUUCCUUUCCCCUCCAUAUAACUAUACAAUUUAUUUUUAAAUGAUAAAAUCGAACCUGCCUCCACCACCUUCACUGGAAGCUCAUUCCACACAGCUACAACUCUCUGAGUAAAGAAGUUCCCCCUAAUGUUACCCCUAAACUUCUGUCCCUUAAUUCUCAAGUCAUGUCCUCUUGUUUGAAUCUUCCCUACUCUCAGUGGGAAAAGCUUAUCCACGUCAACUCUGUCUAUCCCUCUCAUCAUUUUAAAGACCUCUAUCAAGUCCCCCCUUAACGUUCUGCGCUCCAAAGAAUAAAGACCUAACUUGUUCAGCCUUUCUCUGUAACUUAGUUGCUGAAACCCAGGCAACAUUCUAGUAAAUCUCCUCUGUACUCUCUCUAUUUUGUUGACAUCCAUCCUAAAAUUUGGCAACCAAAAUUGUACACCAUACUCCAGAAUUGGCCUCACCAAUGCCUUGUACAAUUUUAACAUUACAUCCCAACUUCUAUACUCAAUGCUCUGAUUUAUAAAGGCCAGCGCAACAAAAGCUUUCUUUACCACCCUAUCUACAUGAGAUUCCACCUUCAGGGAACUGUGCACAGUUAUUCCUAGAUCCCUCUGUUCAACUGCAUUCCUCAAUUCGCUACCAUUUACCAUGUACGUCCUAUUUUGAUUUGUCCUGCCAAGAUGUAGCACCUCACACUUAUCAGCAUUAAACUCCAUCUGCCAUCUUUCAGCCCACUCUUCCAACUGGGAUAAAUCUCUCUGUAGACUUUGAAAAUCUACUUCAUUAUCAACAACACCACCUAUCUUCGUAUCAUCUGCAUACUUACUAAUCCAAUUUACCACACCAUCAUCCAGAUCAUUGAUUUACAUGACAAACAACAGUGGACCUAUCACAGAUCCCUGUGGCACCCCACUAGUCACUGGCCUCCAACCUGACAAACAGCCAUCCACCAUUACUCUCUGGCAUCUCCCAUUCAGCCACUGUUGAAUCCAUCUUGCUACUCCACCAUUAAUAUCCAACAAUUGAAUCUUCUUAACCAACCUUCCAUGAGGAACCUUGUCAAAGGCCUUACUGAAGUCCAUAUAUACAACAUCCACUGCUUUACCCUCAUCAAUUUCCCGAGUUACCUCUUCGCAAAAUUCAAGAAGAUUAGUCAAACAUGUCCUUCCAGGCACAAAUCCAUGUUGACUGUUCCUAAUCAGACCCUUUUUUUCCUGAUGCUUAUAUAUAUUAUCUCUAAGUAUCCUUUCCAUUAAUUUGCCCACCACUGACGUCAAACUAACAGGUCUAUAAUUGCUAGGUUUACUCUUAGAACCCUUUUUAAACAAUGGAACAACAUGCGCAGUACGCCAAUCCUCCGGCACUAUUCCCGUUUCUAAUGACAUUUGAAAUAUUUCUGUCAUAGCCCCUGCUAUUUCUACACUAACUUCCCUCAAUGCCCUAGGGAAUAUCCUGUCCGGACCUGGAGACUUAUACACUUUUAUAUUUUUCAAAAGUGUCAGUACUUCCACUUCUUUGAAUCUCAUAGUUUUCAUGGCUACUCUACUUGUUUCCCUUACCUCACAUAAUUCAAUAUUCUUCUCCUUGGUGAAUACCGAAGAAAAUAAAUUGUUCAAUAUCUCCCCCAUCUCUUUUGGCUCUGCAGAUAGCUGUCCACUCUGACUAAUGGACCAAUUUUAUCCCUCGUUAUCCUUUUGCUAUUAAUAUAGCUUUAGAAACCCUGUGGAUUUACUUUCACCUUACUUGCCAAAGCAACCUCAUAUCUUCUUUUAGCUUUUCUAAUUUCUUUCUUAAGAUUCUUUUUACAUUCUUUAUACUCCUCAAGCACCUCAUUUACUCCAUGCUGCCUAUGAUUAUUGUAGAUCUUUCUCUUUUUCCGAACCAAGUGUCCAAUUUCCCUUGAAAACCAUGGCUCUUUCCAAUUUUUACUACUUCCUUUCAACCGAACAGGAACAUAAAGAUUCUGUACUCUUAAAAUGUCACCUUUAAAUGUCCUCCAUUUCUCUUCCACAUCUUUCCCAUAAAACAAAAUGUCCCAAUUCACUCCUUUUAAAUCCUUUCGCAUCUCCUCAAAGUAAGCCUUUCUCCAAUCAAAAAUCUCAACCUAAGGUCCAGUUCUGACCCUCUCCAUAAUUAUAUUGAAACUAAUGGUACUGUGAUCACUGGAUCCGAACUGUUCCCCAACGCAUACCUCUGCCACCUGACCUGUAUCAUUUCCUAACAGGAGGUCCGGCACCGCCCCUUCUCUAGUAGGUACCUCUAUAUAUUGCUGCAAAAAACUAUCCUGCACACAUUUUACAGACUCGAAACCAUCCAGCCCAUUUACAAAAUGUGUUUCCCAGUCUAAGUGUGGAAAAUUGAAAUCUCCCACAAUCACUACCUUGUGCUUACUACUAAUAUCUGCGGUCUCCUUACAUAUUUGCUCUUCCAAUUCUCGCUCCCCAUUUGGUGGUCUAUAAUACACCCCUAUAAGUGUUGCUACCUCUUUCCCAUUUCUCAGUUCCACCCAAAUAGCCUCCCUAGACGAGCCCUCUAAUCUAUCCUGCCAAAGCACUGCUGUAAUAUCUUCCCUGAACAGCAAUGCAAC